rnacentral:tRNA from 1 species
UAAAAAGUCCUUUAGGCAC